rnacentral:lncRNA from 1 species
UUGCUGCAAUAAACACUGAUUUUCAUGUUUGUGAGUCUGCAAGCCAGCUGGGCAGCUCUACUUCAGGUGGUAAGGGUGGAUCAGACCUAUUCCAUAUACCUGUUGUUCUCCUUGUCUAGUGGUUUCUAGGGAUAUGUUCUCAUGAUGAACCCCGCAGAGGCUCGUGAAGGUGAGAGGAAACUAGGAUGCCUCUUAAGGCCUUGGUCAGGAUGGGGUCUCCUGUCACUUCCGUCACAGGCUAUUUUCCUCCUCCUGUGUUUUACAUGAUUAAUGCCACCCCUGCCUCAACGAACCAAGAUCAGCUUCAUCACUGGGACCUCCCCAUUCUUCCUGUGCAAUAUUUUUCUUUUUUAUUUCUCCUUCUAAUAUUACUGUUAUUGCUCCAGUAAAGAUCUGUAAUAUAUUUCACCUGGACUGAUACCAGGAAUGGUGGUGUUGCUUCCAAUCUGUUGCUGCUAGAUUAAUCUUUGCAAAGUACAGGCUUAACUUCAUUGCUCCUCAACUAAAACCACUGGUGGUCCAUUGCCUACAAAAUAAAGUCAACCUCCCCAACAGACAUUCAAGGCUUUCAAUGAUCCAUGGCUGUCAGCUCUCUCCAGGCUCACAUCCCACUCCACUCCUCUGAUGUUUCCUACACUACACUACACUACACUACACUACAGCCAGGUAGAAUGACUGUUCACCCAACACCACUCAGGUUGUCUUCUCAACUUGGAAUACUCUUGCACCUUCAAAGCUCAGUUCAAAUGCCCCUUCAUUUGUGAAGCCUUCUCCAAAUCUCCAAGUCAGAAUGUCUCUUCCUUGUGCUACCACAACCCUUUACCUGAGCCUCCAUUAGUGCACUGAGACCAUUCUGUUCAGUGUCUGGGUGAAGCUUCUUGGUGCAAAAUAUGUUACCUAUUUCUUUCUGAAAAGUUGGAUUCAGGGAUAUUUUAGCAGGACCUAAGGUAAUAGUUCUAGCCAACCUCCCUGUCCACUGCCAGGCCGACUACAAACCCUUCUGUUGCUGGCGAGCUGGUCCACACCACUAGUUCUGCUUCAUUCUAUUUAUCUCUUGAUGUGACCAUCUUCUUCCUCCAGGUUUUAAGAACCAGCCCAACUCCUGGUUCCCUGAUGAAGCUUUUAGUCCUCUAGCCACAUCGAACUUUUCCU